rnacentral:rRNA from 1 species
GAUGAACGCUGGCGGCGUGCCUAAUACAUGCAAGUCGAGCGAACGGACGAGAAGCUUGCUUCUCUGAAGUUAGCGGCGGACGGGUGAGUAACACGUGGAUAACCUACCUAUAAGACUGGGAUAACUUCGGGAAACCGGAGCUAAUACCGGAUGAUAUUUUGAACCGCAUGGUUCAAAAGUGAAAGACGGUCUUGCUGUCACUUAUAGAUGGAUCCGCGCUGCAUUAGCUAGUUGGUAAGGUAACGGCUUACCAAGGCAACGAUGCAUAGCCGACCUGAGAGGGUGAUCGGCCACACUGGAACUGAGACACGGUCCAGACUCCUACGGGAGGCAGCAGUAGGGAAUCUUCCGCAAUGGGCGAAAGCCUGACGGAGCAACGCCGCGUGAGUGAUGAAGGUCUUCGGAUCGUAAAACUCUGUUAUUAGGGAAGAACAUAUGUGUAAGUAACUGUGCACAUCUUGACGGUACCUAAUCAGAAAGCCACGGCUAACUACGUG